rnacentral:rRNA from 1 species
CCACUGUCAGGGAUCACCAAGCGAACGCGCCCAACAUGCGCGCAAGUUGAGGAGUCCCAGAGGAAGCCACGGCUAACUUCGUGC